AUGCAACUUCCAGAACCUGUGGCCUGGGACAGCGAAUGAGAUACAACAGUGAGAACUAAUGGAAAUCUGGAGUUUCUGUUAUCAGGACAUAUAAUCUUCUGCUAUUUGAAAAUAUGAUGGAGAUUUAAUUCACAUAUAAUAUUCUGGGUUCACCUUCUGCUUCCAAUCCCAGAUGCACCAAUAUAUUGCAACAAGCAUUGUUUCCAUUAUCACCCAAA
rnacentral:misc_RNA from 1 species